GCGCCCGUAGCUCAGGGGAUAGAGCAAGAGACUUCUAAUCUCGAGGCCGCAGGUUCGAAUCCUGCCGGGCGCA
rnacentral:tRNA from 2 species